rnacentral:rRNA from 1 species
GCUUAGCCACAAACUUUUAAUUACACCCCAAACGCCAGGGAACUACGAGCAAAGCUUAAAACCCAAAGGACUUGACGGUGCCCCAUAUCCCCCUAGAGGAGCCUGUCCUAUAAUCGAUAACCCCCGUUUAACCUCACCAUUUUUAGCCAAAUCAGUCUGUAUACCUCCGUCGUCAGCUUACCGCAUGAGUGAACCAUAGUAAGUUUAAUGUAAUUUACCAUCAAUACGUCAGGUCAAGGUGCAACUUAUAAAGUGGGAAGAGAUGGGCUACACUUUCUAAUAUAGAAAAAACGGAAGACUACUAUGAAAACUAGUCUAAAGGUGGAUUUAGCAGUAAAAAAAGACCAGAGAGCUUUUUUUAAUCAGGCCCUGGGGUGUGUACACACCGCCCGUCACCCUCUUCGCAGCCAUACAGUAGUUAUUAACAAAUUUUGCAAAGUAGAAGAGGUAAGUCGUAACAUGGUAAGUAUACCGGAAGGUGUGCUUGGAAAC